GACGAACGCUGGCGGCGUGCCUAAUACAUGCAAGUUGAGCGCUGAAGGUUGGUACUUGUACCGACUGGAUGAGCAGCGAACGGGUGAGUAACGCGUGGGGAAUCUGCCUUUGAGCGGGGGACAACAUUUGGAAACGAAUGCUAAUACCGUAUAAAAACUUUAAACACAAGUUUUAAGUUUGAAAGAUGCAAUUGCAUCACUCAAAGAUGAUCCCGCGUUGUAUUAGCUAGUUGGUGAGGUAAAGGCUCACCAAGGCGAUGAUACAUAGCCGACCUGAGAGGGUGAUCGGCCACAUUGGGACUGAGACACGGCCCAAACUCCUACGGGAGGCAGCAGUAGGGAAUCUUCGGCAAUGGACGAAAGUCUGACCGAGCAACGCCGCGUGAGUGAAGAAGGUUUUCGGAUCGUAAAACUCUGUUGGUAGAGAAGAACGUUGGUGAGAGUGGAAAGCUCAUCAAGUGACGGUAACUACCCAGAAAGGGACGGCUAACUACGUG
rnacentral:rRNA from 1 species